rnacentral:rRNA from 1 species
GACGAACGCUGGCGGCGUGCUUAACACAUGCAAGUCGAACGGAAAGGCCCUGCUUUUGUGGGGUGCUCGAGUGGCGAACGGGUGAGUAACACGUGAGUAACCUGCCCUUGACUUUGGGAUAACUUCAGGAAACUGGGGCUAAUACCGGAUAGGAGCUCCUGCUGCAUGGUGGGGGUUGGAAAGUUUCGGCGGUUGGGGAUGGACUCGCGGCUUAUCAUCUUGUUGGUGGGGUAGUGGCUUACCAAGGCUUUGACGGGUAGCCGGCCUGAGAGGGUGACCGGCCACAUUGGGACUGAGAUACGGCCCAGACUCCUACGGGGGGCAGCAGUGGGGAAUAUUGCACAAUGGGCGGAAGCCUGAUGCAGCAACGCCGCGUGCGGGAUGACGGCCUUCGGGUUGUAAACCGCUUUCGCCUGUGACGAAGCGUGAGUGACGGUAAUGGGUAAAGAAGCACCGGCUAACUACGUG